UUCUGAAACAUGCAAAACGACAAUUCGUCUCAUUCCUUCAGAUCGAUAUCUCUUGUCCUUCUCCCUAAAAGAGAAGAAAAAAAAAAUAAAACGAUUGAUUCUUUCGCGAUAUAAAUGGAUCUCUUAUCGAUAAUGGAUUUCUCUUCGUGAUACGGACCAGCCUUGUCAUUAAAAAAGAUUUCUAUCUAUUAAAAUAUAUAUAAGAUAGUGGUAUUCUUCCACCACUGAGAAGAUUAGGUUAUAGGAAAACCAAUUACUCUAAAAAUUCUUACGUCGCUGCCGCGGCUCCACCGGUUCUGCUAGAAGCUGAUCCUUUGUAUCCUGUUGAACCGGAAAUUGGCGCCUUUGCUCUCGAAGCCAUUUUGCUUCUAGAACCGGAAGUCUGACCUUGCAUGGGGCUACCACCAGAUGUGGACGAAACAGAUGGUGGCCGUGUUGAUUGCAUGGAAGUAAUCUGUUUCUAAUUAAUAGAAACGUUAAACGAUAAUUAUUUUUACUACAAUAGAAUAUUUUCAAUAGAAUAUUCCAAAAAAAUGUUGCAAUAGAAGAAGGCCAAUCUUUCAACAAAAAGUUUCAGCCAGGGAAUUAUUAAUAUAUAUUAAAAUAUUACAGGGACUCUAAUAAAAUAUUGUUCAUAUAUGUUGCUUAUUGUUAAAUGAUGGAUUUCUUAUAUUGCAUGAGGACAUUGCUCUUGCAAAAUAGUUUAUUUUUAUUAGCUGUUUAUAAUACUUUUGCUUUAAUAAAUAGCUGGUAAACUGGUGAUUUUUCAUAUGCAUCACACUUUUAAAAAACGAAUAAUAUGAGAGAAGAUAAAAUGAGAAUAACAGAGGAGAAAGUAAAAGCAAUUUGCAAGGCGACUAGGAAAUUUCGCUGUUGCGAAUAUUUCGAUUAAUUAGAAGUUGGAGGAAGAGGAAUCCAUGUGCAGCGAAAUCGCUGGAUUUCCCGGGUUAAAUAACGUCAAAGAGCACCAGACAUUUUACUCUCUAAAGCUUUCUACUUACUUCUCACAUACCAAACUUCAAGCUGUGGCAGAAAAAUUGCAUACGAUAUUCGAUUGAAAUUAUCUUUGCAACCAAGAGCACAUCAUUCGCAGACGAAUUAUGUUUGUAAAUUAAUAGCAUAAAUGCGUGAAGUUCCUUUCUUGUAUUAUAUGUCUAGCUAUGCGAGAAUUACAAUUAGGAUACUUUUAUUAAAUUCGAUUACAUUUUAUCUAAACUGCUGUAUUUUAUCAUAUGUUUUUAUAAUAUAAAUUUUGUCUGCAUUUAGUAACAAAGAUGAGAACAUUUUUACUAUAGUGAAA